CCCUUAGAUGUUCUGGGCUGCACGCGUGCUACAAUGGCGCUUGCAACAAGUCUUGCCAACCCGAUAGGGUGAGCGGAUCUUUGAAGAGGCGUCGUGAUCGGGACAGUUGAUUGCAAUUAUUCGACUCGAACGAGGAAUUCCUUGUAAUCGCGAUUCAUCAUAUCGCGCUGAAUACGUCCCUGCCCUUUGUACACACCGCCCGUCGCUCCUACCGAUUGAAUGUUCCGGUGAGCUCUUCGGACUGCGCGGUCUGCAGUUUCUGCGUUCCGUGCGGAAAGUUGCGCAAACCUUAACAUUUAGAGGAAGGAGAAGUCGUAACA
rnacentral:rRNA from 1 species